CAGUAGCCGCGGUAAUACGGAGGGGGCUAGCGUUGUUCGGAAUUACUGGGCGUAAAGCGCACGUAGGCGGCUUGGUAAGUUAGAGGUGAAAGCCCGGGGCUCAACUCCGGAAUUGCCUUUAAGACUGCCGAGCUAGCAGGUGAGAGAGGUAAGUGGAAUUCCGAGUGUAGAGGUGAAAUUCGUAGAUAUUCGGAAGAACACCAGUGGCGAAGGCGGCUUACUGGCUCAUACUGGACGCUGAGGUGCGAAAGCGUGAGGAGCAAACAGGAUUAGAUACCCGAGUAGUCCCUGUCUCUUAUAC
rnacentral:rRNA from 1 species